AGCUUUGCGCAGUGGCAGUAUCGUAGCCAAUGAGGUUUAUCCGAGGCGCGAUUAUUGCUAAUUGAAAACUAUGAGGGAGGCAAUAUUUUAAUAUGUACUUUACA
rnacentral:snRNA from 1 species